UUCUCACGUGCUUGUGUAAUUAGUGAAUGUAGGGGCGUCUGCAAUUAGCAUGAAACAGAUCUUUUCCAUAAAGAGUAGUCAAAUACAAAAUUUUGGAUUCUUAGAUUGAUAUUCAGUCUGGUACAUGUUACAGGUUGAACUAAUCACAAAGCGGCAUUUCAUCGCAGAUACAUUAUGCCUCAAUAAGGAUUUUCACUUGAAGCUGACGCUGUUUGCUAGGGGGGCUUAGCUAGCCUCUAGGAAAGGAUUAUAUUGGAGACAGGUUCUCGGUUGGUGCAGUUUGGCACAACAGAUUUAAGGUUUUCAAGGGCAGUAGCAAUGGGCUUCCAACUCAUGGCAGCAAGCUUUAAUCUUCCAGGCUUUGGAGCUUUAUAUCUAUUUGUUGGUGGGAUGCUACUGUGAGUAAUUACACCCUAGCCUGGAUAUUUAAUGAUCUUGAAGAUGAACACAGAACUAGAAUAAGCUUGUAAAUAUUUAGAAACUGACACCAAAUCUUUGAAUCUAGCGUACAUUUGGAAAAGGCUAUUCAUACCAUUUUUAUGGAAGAACCAAAUUUCUCUUUCUCAAUGGCAAAAUACCUUAGAAAGCUAAAUGUAAAUGUCUCCCUUGUGGUUAACUUGUAGUAAACUUUAUAGUUAUCUUCAAAGUAAAUAAAAACUGAGACUUUGAAUU